rnacentral:rRNA from 1 species
UACGAAGGGGGCUAGCGUUGCUCGGAAUGACUGGGCGUAAAGGGCGCGUAGGCGGUUUGUACAGUCAGGUGUGAAAUUCCCGGGCUCAACCUGGGGGCUGCACUUGAUACGUAGGAACUGGAGUGGGGAAGAGGGUCGUGGAAUUCCCAGUGUAGAGGUGAAAUUCGUAGAUAUUGGGAAGAACACCGGUGGCGAAGGCGGCGACCUGGUCCUUGACUGACGCUGAGGCGCGAAAGCCAGGGGAGCAAACGGG